rnacentral:rRNA from 1 species
AUACGGGGGGUGCAAGCGUUAAUCGGAAUUACUGGGCGUAAAGCGCACGCAGGUGGCUAGGUUAGUCGGAUGUGAAAGCCCCGGGCUCAACCUGGGAAUUGCAUUCGAAACUGUUAGGCUAGAGUUUAGUAGAGGGUAGUGGAAUUCCCGGUGUAGCGGUGAAAUGCGUAGAUAUCGGGAGGAACAUCAGUGGCGAAGGCGGCUUACUGGACCAAAACUGACGCUGAGGCUCGAAAGCGUGGGGAGCAAACAGGAUUAGAAACCCCUGUAGUCC